ensembl:lncRNA
GGUUGAGUGAACAGAAGCUGAAUAUCUCACAAAGCUCCAAGAACUUUCUUUUCUGGACUUGAGAGUCUGUGCCAAGAAAGACUCGGGGUCUCACUCAUGUGCCGUCACCCUGGCACUGCCUCUGUCGGGAAGACUCGCAAGGAUUAAGAAAGCGGUCCCGGGCACGUAUUUCGUUAACUGCUCUCCUACCGUUCAGAGUGGCUGCUGCCUGGACAAGUUCCUCCUGUUUGCACACAAGAAAUGGCUGGUGCAAACAAUCCCAUAGAGAGCCGGCCUGGCACAUUUCUAAUGACUGAAUGCCACUAAGAGGUUUUGUGCCAGGCUGUCCUCUUUGUGAAGUAAAGAAUGAAAAUGGUGUCUGCACUGUGGACAAGAUAACCUACUCUACAGAGUUCAUAAUGGAAAUUCAACCGAACCACAUCAUAGUUAAGGAAGAAAAACUAAACGUGGCUCUUCCUGCUACUGAUUUUAUCCAGCAGUAAAGAGAAAUCCUUGCAAGUGCUGUUUACACAGUAUGAAAUCCUUACUGAGUCAUAGUGGAGCAUGUCUGCUAUCUGACCCAGGCUUUAGGGCUCCUUAAACACCUGUGGAUUUAUGGAGUUCAAAUGUCUACAAGGGCAUGUGUGGAAGUUCAUUCAGAAACCUGGAGCCCAAAUAAAAUGAUCUGAUGACAUGGAC